CUGUCUUUUAACAGGAAGGAGGGGUGAAAAAUACGGAAAAGCGCCUAUUUUCAAAACAUGAGUACUCCCGAAGAUACUUUCGCUAUUAUAAUGAAUUAUUUUGAUGCAGGGCAUACAUACGACGUGGUAGUUGAUAUGUUGUCAAACAAUCACAACAUCAGGAUGAGUAUACGCACUUUGAAGUUACGUUUGAGAGAAGCAGGGUUGUACAGAAGGAAAAACUAUUCACAACUGGAUGAGGUGAGACGUGCCAUCCUUACAGAGCUGCAUGGCCCAGGGCAACUAUUCCGCUAUCGGACUAUGUGGCAAGUACAGCAAAAACACAAUCUACGUAUUAAACGACACACAGUGAUGAAACUGCUGAAGCAACUAAAUCCACAAGGAACGGAUGCGAGAACAAGACGGAGAAAAAGCAACUGCUGUGUCCCUAGAGGAUGUCCGGCUGUUUGCUACAGGGCUCGCAUCACUUCCACCUGCUGGAAUAACACCACUACCAUGCAUCGAGUUCUUACCAAAUUCGCCAUUCCCUAUGUCAAACACCUGUGCAAAUGCCCUAAAGCUCCUUUUCCUUGAGACCUACAGUGUCUUUUAGACAAACAUGGAGUUUUGCUUACAGAAUUCUCCAGGCUUUGGGUGCAUUUAAUGAUGUGCCAAGUCUGGAUUUUGCCCAGUCUUAAAUCUGUAGUUUAUAAAGCAUAAGAGUGCAUGCUCAGUUCAAAGUAUUUUAAUGUGUAUUAUUUCUGUUCAUUACUUUGUUCAAUGAAAAAUCACAGAAAAAAUGUUAAGUACAGGUCACAUUACAAGUAACAGUAAAAUUGUACUCAGCUAAAAUGUAUGUAGUUUCACAUUUGAAACAGUGUAUAACAUGUUGUGCUUGCAAACAAGCUUGUUAACAAUACCUCUUGAAAAGAACCACGUUUCUUUGGUUGUUCAGACCUACAAUUGACACACAGUUAACUCGAUGGUGAAUCCGAAAAUAAACAAAUAUAGUUUGGGAGUUACAUUUGAGUUUAAUGUAUGUCUCCACUCUGAUAUGACACUGCAUAUACUGAACUCCACUUGCCAAACAUGAUACUCAAACAGCUAAGCCACAUUUGAGAAUGUUUUCCUUUAACAUCUGGCCUUUAAGAGUGGACUGCAGUAGACCAUAUUUAUAGGCCAGCUAUUUCUUUCAAGGUGACAUAUAGUUCUGAGGCUGACUCCCAAUUAUGUGGCUGCUGUAAUCCAUUUCGCUCAACAGUCUGUUG